UGCUUCAUCUGGGAAGAUCUUAAGUUUUGUUUUGUUUUCCUCUGAAAAGGAAAUUCUAGAGUAUCUCUGAACUGGGGGACACUCGCCACAGUUAAGGAUAGUGCACCAGAAUGAAAGAAGGAUGAUUCAUCUCAGAAAUAUGAAGCACAUAGGGCAUGGUUCUGCUAUCAGAGACUGCAAUCUCACUAUUGAAUAAAGACUCACAGGAGAUAAUGAUCACAUAAAAAGAACACAACAGAUGAGUCAACAGUAUAUACUGUGAAAUUGUGUUGAGGAUUUAACUGAUGGCCUUGUACAUGCCAGAAAAGUGCUGACUGACCUGUAUCCCCAGCCAAUAGGCACUAUUUUAAAGAGUACGAAGUAAUGCCAAUCUUUUACAAAUUAUUUUAAAACUAUAAUACAGCACCUAACUGUUCAUGUACACAGUUAAUUCAAUUCAAUACAGUCUAUGGAACUACUUAAUUUCCAAGCAAAUUUACAAAAAGUGCUAAAUUUAAAAUAAUUAGGC